UACGUAGGAGGCGAGCGUUGUCCGGAUUUAUUGGGCGUAAAGCGCGCGCAGGCGGCACAUCAAGUACGCAGUGAAAUCUCCCUGCUCAACGGGGAGGGUGCACUUUAGACUGCACAGCUCGAGGUCGGUAGAGGGGGGUGGAAUUGCUGGUGUAGCGGUGAAAUGCGUAGAGAUCAGCAGGAACACCCGUGGCGAAGGCGGCCCCCUGGGCCGUACCUGACGCUGAGGCGCGAAGGCUAGGGGAGCGAACGGG
rnacentral:rRNA from 1 species